rnacentral:tRNA from 1 species
CGUUCUGUUGUUAAUUGGUUCAAGUAUCGGUCUGGCGAAUACGAAGUCGUGGGUUCGAAUCCCACCAGAACGU